CAACAGGGAUUGCCUCAGUAACGGCGAGUGAAGCGGCAACAGCUCAAAUUUGAAAUCUGGCUCCUCCGGGUGCCCGAGUUGUAAUUUGCAGAGGGUGUUUCGGGCGCGGCUCCGGUCUAAGUUCCUUGGAACAGGACGUCAUAGAGGGUGAGAAUCCCGUACGUGACCGGUGGCCUACCCCGUGGGAAACCCCUUCGACGAGUCGAGUUGUUUGGGAAUGCAGCUCUAAGUGGGUGGUAAAUUUCAUCUAAAGCUAAAUACCGGCCAGAGACCGAUAGCGCACAAGUAGAGUGAUCGAAAGAUGAAAAGCACUUUGGAAAGAGAGUCAAACAGUACGUGAAAUUGUUGAAAGGGAAGCGCUUGCAGCCAGACCUGCUCACGGGCCCACAGCCGUCACUCGUGGCGGCGCACUGCCCCGUGCCCAGGCCAGCAUCGGUUUCGGCGGCCGGACAAGCCCGGGAAUGUAGCU
rnacentral:rRNA from 1 species